CGAACAACAAACCCAAUUCAUACUCGGGCUAGGGCAAACCCAAAAUUGAGAAAGCUCUGUCAGAGAAUCCGAAGAGGAGAGGCACAGGAGACGACGAGAGAUGAUGGCGAUGCAAGAGACGGUGACAUCUGGUUUAUCAAAACGAGCAGCGAGGUGUUCUUCUUCUGCCACCACCAGAAGCAAUACAGUUGAAAAUAGGAAACCAUGUAAGGCCCAUUCCCUAACAAUAGAUGAGCUUGUGUUUGGACGGGAGCCUCUUAGCUUGGAUGAUCUGUUAUCCAGUUUUCCUGCUAGGACAAGUCAGAUUCUUGAACUCCUUCACCUUUUUGGUCCUCUGAAUUCUCCCAUGCUCCCAGUGUUCGUCUAUGGAGGUGCUUCCACUGGAAAAACCAGUGUCACUCUUCAGAUACUUAGGCAUCUCAACCGCCCUUUUGUUUACUCAAGUUGUCGUACUUGCUAUAGUGCCAGGAUCUUAUUCGAGUCCAUCUUGAAUCAAUUGUUGCUUCACACAAAGAAUGAAGCUAAUGGUUACUCGAGCAUAAGACGCUGUGAAAGGCCGUCUGAUUUCGUGAAUAUGCUCCGUGAAGCAUUGGUAGAUACCAUAAAUAAUCUUAAGGGGAGGUUAGGAAAAUCAAAGGCAGGAUGUGCCAAUGGAAGGAUGAUCUACUUGGUAUUUGAUAGCUUGGAGCUUGUUCAAGAGUGGGAUAAGAAUUCCAUUUUAUUACCAUUUCUAUUUAAUCUGUAUGAUAUCUUAAAGAUGCCUGAUAUUGGUCUCAUCUUUAUCAGCAGUUGUUCACCUGAUGCGUAUUAUUCAAACAUGGGAUAUUUAGACCCUAUCCCUCUUUAUUUUCCUGAAUACACAGAAGAUGAUAUCCGUCAAAUUUUCUUGAGAAAUCAAGCAAACCGGAAGCUCUAUUCCUGCUUCUUUGAUGUUGUACUUAGACCUUUUUGUAGAGUUACUAGACGUCUGGAUGAAUUAUCUACUGCAUUCUCAUCAUUAUUCAAGAAAUAUUGUGAACCCUUAAGUGAUCCAAUGGUUGCUCCCAAUGAAGAAAUAAAGAGAAGGUUGUUUGGUCAUAUUCAGCCACAUAUUGCUCAAGCUUUGAAUGAGGUAUUCCAGGUGGCAUCUCAGCCAUCCCUUGAAGCCAACAGAGAGACACAGGGAAGGGGCAUUAUAAGAAAACCAGGAAGUUGUGGAAAUCUCGAUGAGAUAGAUUUUCAUAUGUCUACUUCUGGAAAGUAUCUUCUAAUUUCAGCUUUCCUUGCAUCUAGAAACCCAGCUACUCUUGAUGCAUCAUUAUUUGAUCCAAAGGGUGGUUCUGAUAGUCGAAAACGAAAGAGAAAGGCAUCUGGAAAAUCGUUGGAGAAUAAAGAAAUUGCAGAGCAGGAUUUACUAAUGAAAGGGCCUGGAACUUUUCCACUGGAGAGGUUAUUAGCCAUAUUUCAAUGUAUUACAUCUGUAGCAGAAGAUUUUCUUGAUGAAGAGGAACAAGGAGAUGAUUUAUCAAGAGUUGAAACGGGGAGUAUUUUACCUAUGUCUGAUGUUUUAUUGCAAUUAUCCAGUCUCUGCAAUGCUAAUUUUAUUAUCAAAGGAGGAAGCUGCCCCUUAGAGGGUACAACUAGGUACCGUUCUACAGUAUCUGAAGAGCUGGCUCUCAAGAUAUGGCAUGUCGAUCCCUCAUCAGUUUCCUUCAUCACUAUACCGAAUUUGUGACCUUUUUGAAUCUUUUGAUGGUUGACUCUUCAAACCUGAAUUAGAGGAAAACGAGAGUCAAAGACUCAUGUAGAAUAGCGAGCCAGGAGUUAUUAUGAUGGAAAUGAAUGCUUGCUAAAGAUAGAAUGUCAUUAUUUCUCUCUCUAUUCAGCAACUGGAUGUUGGAGGUUUUAAGACAGGUGCUUGUGGUAGCUGCAGCAAGAGAUUUUAGAAGCAUAUCUGGAGGGUUUAAACGGCAACAUUGACAGAAUUACAGUUCCUGGUAAGAAUUGACUAUUCAAUAAUUAUGAGGGAGUCUAGGAUAUACUUGUUUAGCAUAUCAAAUUUUAUCUGUGCAGAGUUUGUAUUUGUAACAUCAGAAGUGUGUAUGAUCUAAUCCUUCUUGCUUUUAGUAGUGGUUAUUUGUACAGUGAUUAUAAAAACUAAAAGUUAUCAGAUAUUAUACUAUGUCUUUUGUGCAUCAAUUAAUAUUAGUUGAUGCUCAAAGUGAUGGCUUUGAAAGUGUGUUUGUUCACUUUAUUAUUCUCUUACUUUGUAGAUGGCCUUCAGUCGACUAUUAUCUUUGCAGAAGUGCAAAAGUUAAACUUUUCACGCACUCUAUUUAUUGUGCCAAAUUUAAGCUUCUCAAAUGCAUAAUGUGCCCCAAAUUUAAAGCAGAGAGUCAAUUAACUCAUUAAGAAACUAAGAAUCAAAAAUGUUAAUUUAAUCCAAUCACUCUUCGUUUCUCCUGCUAUUGCACGUUAUUGUAAAACUUUUGCAUCUCGUAUCUAUAUAUGAUUUUUGUUCAUGAUCAGUCGAAAUUUCUCAUAUAUGUAAGUUCUGUGCUUCCUCCAGAAAUGGCACAAUGAGACGAACCUCUUCAUCCUCUAUUAGUAUACUUAAUUGUUGUUUAUGACAUAUACAUUUGCAAUAGCAUUCUGAAGGAUAGAAAUUGCAGGAUUUGUGAAAUAAAUUUCAGAAUGUCAACUCUUUUGACGGUUCAGCAUAUCGACAUUCUUCGGCUUAUGGUGGUAUGUGCUUCCCAAAACAUUAAGAGAGAAACAUUGCUUACCAUACCAAGUUUCUGUAUAACACUAUUUAGAAGCUGGAUUUGACAUAUUAAUCUACUUUGUCUCACAAUCUAGAUAUCUUGGUGGUAUGGGCAUCCUGAAUUAUGAGUGGUUCUACUAAUGCUGUUGUCAAUCUCAUUAUCAAUGUUUAUAAUAACUUGCCUGACCCUUUUCUCAUAUCAUGGUGAGGGUUCUUUCUUUUUCUUUUUUGGAUUCUGUUUGGUGGCUUGAUAAGCAUAGUUAUGGUAAGUAAAUUAAAAUGAAGUUAAAAUCAGAUUUCCUUUUUUAAUUUGUAAAGAAUAUGUAAGGAGUCUGUGAUGAAAAGUGAAUUUUAUUUCCUUAAAAUUCUUCUUUUGUAUAGUUUUUAAUUUUCUUACAUGGUUCUACUGAAAAUUGGAAACACCAGGAAUGGGUCCUGCGGAGGAAGAAUUCUUAUGAAGAUAGAGUUUAUGGCACAACAUGUCCAAUUCCUCCAGGGAAGAAAUUCACUUACACUAUGCAAAUGAAAGACCAAAAUGGGAUCUUCUAUUACUACCCAUCACUUGCCUUCCUCAAGCCAGCUGGUGGGUUUGGAGGAAUUAGAAUCUUAAGCAGGCCUUUGAUUCAUGUCCCUUUCCCUGAACUUGCUGGCAACUUCACUCUUCUUAUUGGAGAUUGGUGCAAGCCUAAUCUCUUGAUAUUGAAGGCUAUAUUAGAUGGUGGUCACAGGCUUCCUUCCCCUGAUGGUGUCCCGAUUAACAGUGGCGGCAGCAUUGCAUCUUUCACUUUUGAACAAGAUAUGAUACAAAUAUUUGCAAAUAGACCCUACCAUUCUGGAAUUAUUGUAAGAAACUUAAAAUUGAAAAUAUUUAAUUUAAUCCAAUCACUCUUCGUUUCUCAUGCUAUUGUGCGUUAUUUAUACAAACUUUUGCAUUCUUAUAAUAUCCUACCCCACAUUUCAGGAGUUCAUAUGGUCAUAUUUGACGGUGCUUGAUUCCGUGUGGACCAAAGGGCUGAGAGUUUUGAAGGAUAUUUCAGUUCUCAGGACAUAAAUUAUCAACAGGUUUGUCUUUUUUUGUGCAUUGUUGCUCUAUAUAUACAUGUCCCUAUAUAUAUGUAGCUUUAACUGUGGCACCUUCACUCUCAUAUAUAGGCAUUAAAAAUUAAUUGAUAUCAAAUUAGAUGGAUUAGGAACAUAGAAAUGGGCACAGUGCGAAAGGUCACAGCUUGCUGACACAUGUUCACUCUCAUUGACAUGGUCUCUUUACAGGAACCUCUAUUGCUGUCUAUGAGCCACUGCUACUUUUUCAUAUGGAGAGAGAUUAGAUGACACAUUUAGACUGUCCUGCUAAAAGUCUAUUACUUCACAGAUUUUUAUCAUAGUUGCUGCACCUGUUUGUUGAUUCCAACACCCGUAGUUGUUCACCAUUUUGUUGCGUUUCUAAUGGUCGCUUAUUAGGUUUGAUAAGAUGAGAUUUCGAUUUCGAGUUUUUGAUUUCAAUUUUUUUUACUUACAUCCAUCUGUUUGCAAUUACUAUGAUCAGAACAAAUAUCAAGCAAUUACGUUAAGAUCCAAUUGUCAUCUACUGCAACCAUACCUAUGUUACAGUGUUUCUUUUAUUUUUUUUACAAAUAGAAAUAUGUUUUCUGGCUAUAUGGUAAGGUGUGACGUAAGAAUUCAAAGUGCGGGCCAAGUGCAUUUUGUGAUUGCAAGGACAGGAAAGGAAGUGGAUAAGAUCGUAGGAUGAUUGGUGCUGAGAAGAAUUACCGACAAGAAGAUUGAAACAAAAGGGCUCUCCAAGCUGCAGCUUAGCUCCAAACUUACAUCACCUUAUGUGUGUUAUCUUCAUAUUAGUAUCUUAUGUUUUGAAGUUCAUAGUAGUAUCCUCAGUUUUGAAGAACGGUAACGAUUUAGAUAAUGCACGUUCAAUUUUUUUAAUGAUGAAAACUACUACAUUUAUUUGUAACUCAUUGAAUCUGUUAUGAUAAUAAUAAUAUGCUCCGUACCAGUUACACGUCCAACUAUAAGGCUCCUGUAGCAACGUGCGGGGCAGACGCUUGUGAGUUUA